rnacentral:lncRNA from 1 species
GAUGUUGGAAAAUGGAUGAUAAAUUAUUAUAAAUGUUUUAAAAUUAUUUUAAGUCAUUUAAAAAUAAAAUGACUGGUACUCACAGAUGUUGAGAUACAGAAUAAGAGUCUUAGACUCAGUAAUUACCCGAUAAAGCUGUCGGUACGCCGACAAAUGUCAGACCUUAUAAAAGAAAGAAAAGGCUACUGUAAGAACAUGGAUGAGAUAUUUGAAAAAUGUAUAAAAAUAUUUCAAGUAUAGAAUAUGAACUUAAAGUAUGAUCAAUGCGAUUAUGUGAUGACGUGAUUAGACUAUGUGCUGACUGUAAUAGACAGUACUAUGUGUUAUGAUAUAUUGUUCUAACCGAACGAAUGAUCUGAUUAAUGAUAGGUUGUGAUAUAAAGAGAUAGAACCUAAGUUGAGAUUUGUAAUCAGCGAAUUAGGCAAGUAUCUUACCUUUGCAUUUCCUUUAUGCAAUGGACAUGAGUAAGAAGUUUUAGAAUUAUUUUAUUCAUGUACAGAUUUUGUACUCUUUGAUUAUCAACAUGUUAGCUCAGAUAUAUAUAUUCUGUUAAGUUGAUUUCUAAAUGGUUAUACAAGUGUCCCCAUUUGGAUAAUCAUGGCAUUUAUUCACAUGUUGAUAUACCUUUGUCAAUUACCCGUAUACAUAUAUGUUGAAUUAUAUAUUAUUGUUGAGCAAGAUUAAAAACCUUCGGGUUUGGAACCAGGCAUGUAUGAACA